rnacentral:ncRNA from 1 species
CCUGCGUGGCUGUCCUGUCGAGUUCAUUUAAAGAGAAACUACGAACGGCUUAUUAGAGCAGACGUCACUUAUGCGGGAUGUUCUUUUUGAUAACUGCUUUCUGGAGAUAAUUCACACGAAUGAACUCUGACUUCGGAAAGGGUACAAUUAUUAGAGCAAAUCAAUCACCUUCAAGUGUGGUUUGCUAACUCCAAAUAACGCUGCGCUGCAUGUCGUCGGCUUGUCUUCCGAUAUUCUCAAACAUGUCUGUCCUGUCAACCUGAUGGUAGUUUAUUAGUCUACCAUGGCCAUUAUGGGAAAUGGUGCAAUGCUCGACUCCGAAGAGGGUGCCUUGAAAAGGAUACCACAUAAAAGAAAGCAGCAG